rnacentral:lncRNA from 1 species
AUUCUAAGUAGACAUCUCAAGCUUUCCAAUUCCUUUGGUCUCACCUCAAAAUCAUAAAAAUGAAGUUAUGCCCUUGGCAAGUUGACCCAAAAUUAGGGUUUCAGUUAAAAUGACCUACAAUGUUUUGAUAUGAAUGAUGACCUUAAAUGAUUUAAAUGGAUUUUUUAUGAACAUGAAAGUUGUUCAUAUGGUUCUUAGGAACAUUAUUUAUUUUGGGAUCAUCUUCAUUUGACAAACACAUUAAAAGUUAUAGCUAAUUGAACCCCAGCUUAGUCAGAUGACUUGACUGGUCAACUUUUCAAAGUCAAACUUCCAAUCUUGAUGAAUAAAUGAUUAAGGGGCCUAAAAUAGGCUCAUAUAUGCAUAAAAUGAUAAAUGAAAGAACUUCCCUUGAUUAAAUUUUAUUAGAGGUUGAGAUUGCUUCAUGGGCAAGGCAUAGUCAAAGCAUCGUGAAAUUAGGGUUUCCUUGGGAAACAAUCUUCAAGCCCUUUGGGUUAUCUUGAUCAAAUUGUCAAAUUGAGAUAUUUGGGAGACAUAUAUGAUGAAUAGGAACUUUGUGGACCAUUGUCAUGCUUUUUCUCAUCUUCAUCUAGCCAUUGCAUUGGGCUUAGGAGCUUCCUAGGAGCAUUGUGGAGCACAUGAUCACUUGAGCUUCAAAAUAAAAAGAGUUAGUGACAUAUUUUUGUGCUUUUGGUUAGUAAUCAAAUAAGAAAAACAAUAACAUACAAUAAAAGCAUGCUUGGUGAUCUCAAAUCACUCAAACAAGUCCCAACCCAAGGAUUAAGGAGCCAAACAUGCUAUGAUCCUUGAGGCAAUGCACUUAUGCAAUAACAUGAUGCCAUGAGGGAUCUUAGGAUCAAAGUUAGGGUCUUACAUUUAUAUAAUUGGAAGGAUUACACUGAGUAAAAUUUCAAAAACCAAAUGAAAAUACAAGAGAGAAUGAGACUAGUCAUCUUAAGGAUCCCUAACAACAAUGUCAAAAGAUCUGGCUGCAGGCGCGUAGUUCCUUCGAAUGUGUCCAAUCUCAGUCUCAAAAGAAGCCUUCAUCUGAGUCUUCUCGAGGACAAGCUGAUCAACAAUCUUCUUCCAAGCAACGAAAGGCUGAGGUCAAUAAGUGCAUCUUUGUCCUUAGACUCAAGCCGCAACUCCUCAUGCUUUCUUCUCAAAGAAUGGAAAUGCUCUUCCCACAUAUCCUUUUCUUGUUUCAUCUUGACGAGUGUGUCUUCCAACUCCUCUAUGAUGAAUAUUGUAGGAGAUAGGGUCUAGGGAGACCCAAUUUUGAUCAGAUGAAUUCAUAUGGCCAACCACCAUCAACCAACUUGUUAACUUACAAUUAUCUUGACUUUUUAGACUCAUGGUAAAUCAUAUAUGAAUAAGAUGAUGAGAUUUGAAGUGUCCCUUGAAGUAUUUGAUCAAUUGGUGAAGAAGCUUGUUGAAGAAGUUACUCAAGAUAUCCAGAUGAACUAGGGUUUCCAAUGCAAACCAACUCCAAACUCUUGAAGAAAUCUUGAUCAAAAUAACAUGUAGAGAUAAUUGGGACUCAUAUAUGAUGCUUAGAGCCAUUUUGGAUCAUCCCUUGGUUGAGCUCUUAGCAAUGAGGGUCUUAAACCCUAGAUGUGAAUUUGAUAAAUCAAAGGUGAUCAUGUGUCCUACCUACAAAAGAGUUAGACAAAUGCAAAGACAUAUAUUUUUUUUUUGUAUUUUGGUUAGUAAAAUGAUAAUGUACAAGUAUGAUACGAUCACAUGGUGCUUGGUGAUCUUUCCCAAAACAAACCCAAUGAAUAAGGGGUUAGGAGGAUGCCAUGGUAUGAUCCCAAUGUCAAUGCAUAUAAUGAGAUUGCACGAGGGAUCUUAGGGUCAAAAUUGAGGUCUUACAUCGGAAAAGUGAGAAUAGAAUAUAAAAGGAUUAGAUAUAAAAAAAAUAAAAUGGUAAAAAAUAAUAAAAAUAAAUAGUAAGUGAGUUGCACAAGGAUCAAACCUGCAACCUAGAAAAAGCAUCAAAUGCUUCUACCGCUAGGCCAUGGAUAAUUAAUUGUUAAUGUAACGCCGAGCAAUAAUAUAUAAUAGAUAAAAUGACGCUGAUGUAAUAUAAAAAUAAAAUCCAAGUAAAGCAGUAGUAGUAUGCUUUUUGAAUCUAUCUUCUUCCUCAUAUAUCUAAUAUUACAAACUCAAACUAUAGUACUAAAUACUAGUAAUAAAACACUAUAAUAGUAAGCAUAUUACCAAUUUAACAUUAUAUUAUUAGAUACUAGUACUAAAACAUUAUACCAGUAAGUAUCUUCCAAACUUAAUAUUAUAAUGAGAUUAAUUACUAUACACUGUCGGUGUAAAAAAUUUUACACCGUCGAUUCAUCACCAUCAUCCGUUUGUAUUAUUUUAUAGAUUUUUAAAAUAAAAGUCAAACUUCUUUUAAUAUCCGACGACUAUGAUUAGCUGAUGGUGUAAAAUCUCUUUACACUGUCAGUGUAUUCCAAUUAAACUCUAUUAUAAUAUUAGAAACAAAAAAUUAUAUUAUACUUCUUAUUUGAUGACAGUAGCUCCACAAAUAAACAAAAGUUCUGAAAAACAAAAUUCCAUCACUUGAAUACAAGUAGUAACCUAAUAAGAGAACUACAGUUCAUACGAGAAUUUGACCAAGGCAAUAAUUAUACUCAAAAUUUGAUUCACACGUCUCUCAACAGAGUAACGACGUGGAAAUAAAAGAAACGCAAGGUCAAAUAUCGAUACAUCUCAGACAAAAUGCAAAAAAAAAAAAGAUAUAUUUGUAAAUGCAUUUAGUUGAAAAAUCUCCACAUGAUUCCAAGCAUAAACUGAGUCCAAAGCUAACAGCUCAAUAACCAUACGAAUAAACACACGCAUGAAAAAAAGAGAAGUUCACAUACAAAUCAAGACAUGGAAUACACGAGAAAACAUUAACCUUACCAACGUGAUGCAGAUCAAUUUCUUGUUGAAAAAAAACAAAAUAAAGCGGCGGAGAUGUUAGGUGAGGUUAUGGUUGUGUUGAGAGGUGAUUGUGUUUAGGUGAUGCAAAGGUGUGGAGGUUGAAGGAGGGUAAAGGUGAAGUUAAAGAAAAGGAUACUGAAAGGUAAGUCUGGUAUCCUUCUUCUGAAAUUUAGAUAAAUUAUUUGGGGAGUUUUUCCUUUGAGAAUGCAGGGACAAAAAAUGAUGUGAAGGAGGAAGUUCAGUUUUUUUUUCAAAAUAAAAUCUCCAUUUUCAGCUUAAAGAGCAACCAAAGAAAAUUGUGCUAGCUGUCCCUUUUUUGUGGUCCUUAAAAAGAACAGUUACAUGCUCUAGUGAGUGGAUCCACUCCUUUCUUGCUAGUUGUCAUUUGAUAGAGGAACUUUUGAAAAGGAUGCAGCUGGCCAUAUUUGAUUUGGGUAAAAAAAAACAAUGGGAUCCAAAGUUUUUAUAUCAUUAUACUUUAUUAAUUUUUUUGAAUAUAUUAAAAACAUAUUUAUUAAUUAAUUAA